rnacentral:rRNA from 1 species
ACAUGCAAGUCGAACGGUAACAGGAAAAGCUUGCUUUUCGCUGACGAGUGGCGAACGGGUGCGUAACACGUAUGCAACCUACCUUUAACUGAGGGAUAGCCCAAAGAAAUUUGGAUUAAUACCUCAUAAUAUUACGAGGUCACAUGGUCACGUAAUUAAAACUCCGGUGGUUAAAGAUGGGCAUGCGCAACAUUAGCUAGUUGGUAAGGUAAUGGCUUACCAAGGCAACGAUGUUAGGGGUCUUAAAGGAUGGUCCCCCACACUGGUACUGAGACACGGUCCAGACUCC